UACAUGGGGUGCAAACGUUGCUCGGAAUCAUUGGGCGUAAAGCGCACGUAGGCGGUUACUUAAGUCGGAUGUGAAAGCCCUCGGCUCAACUGAGGAAGUGCACCCGAAACUGCAUGGCUCGAGUCUCGGAGAGGAAGGUGGAAUGCUUGGUGUAGAGGUGAAAUUCGUAGAUAUCAAGCAGAACACCUGCGGCGAAGGCGGCCUUCUGGACGAUGACUGACGCUGAGACGCGAAAGCGUGGGGAGCAAACAGG
rnacentral:rRNA from 1 species